UGAACGACUCUCGGCAACGGAUAUCUCGGCUCUUGCAUCGAUGAAGAACGUAGCGAAAUGCGAUACUUGGUGUGAAUUGCAGAAUCCCGUGAACCAUCGAGUUUUUGAACGCAAGUUGCGCCCGAGGCCUUCUGGUCGAGGGCACGUCUGCCUGGGCGUCACGC
rnacentral:rRNA from 1 species